CAUACCCUCUUUGGAUCCUCACAACAACCCCCUGAAAAGAAAUUGCAACUGUUGCUCUCCUCUGAUUCCCUUCUGGAGUUUAAGGAGCCUGUGCACUUCUGCUAGGUCAUGUGACAACUGUGAGGCUGAUUCCAAAUAGCUUUCCACAGAGUAAACAAAGUGGUUUGGGACAGAAUCUCUUGAAACUUCUAAGGAUAAGGUACUUGGGAAAUACAGAAAUACCAGGUGUUUUGUUGGGGAAAAAGCUUAAAAUAAAUGGAGAGAGCCACCCUCUCUGAUUGCACCUUAACCGAUAAUGCCCAAUCAUGCCGAAGGCCAGCAGCAUUCUAGAACCACAACAUGGAGUGAUCCUCAGAGAUGCCUUCACUAUCUGAUACGCAGUAGCCCAGGAGGGGCCAGAGGUUAUGGAAUAAUGGGACAUUUUCCAUUUGCAAGUGUAGAAGAUGAAACCAUAGCCUCACCUCCUGUUUCAUCCAUAUAAUCCCAUUGUUACCUGCCUCUACAAGCUUUCAAAAUAAAGACAACUGCGGAAUAUGUGAAUCACUACCCCAGUCAUGUGAGUGCAUCUCUAAAAUCCCUUCAUGCCCCAUUCCUUCUUUCCCAUCUCCUGUAUCUCUCCAACUCCAUCCACAGUCAGGGAGAGUCCAGAAGCCGCAAUACAGGUAAGGGGAGCUCCACCUCCAAGACAAUUCAAGCCCAAUCAUAUCCCCAAAGCAUCUCUGCACCCAAAUUCUCUCCUUGUCAAUCUCACCUCAGCUUCCUUCCUCUUCUUCUUCACCCUCUCGAUAUCUUUGACACCUGCCCCACCCUCUCUCCCAACUGGGCAACUUCACUGCAUUCUUAGAAUCCUAAGCUAUGGCAUCCCAAGAGUUUUCCCUGCAUUCUCUCCUGCAGGGAAAGACAGCUGCUCAGGCCCAGCUGUCUGAACUCUCACCUCCUUCAGGAACUAGACCCUAUGCAGAGAUGGCCCCAAACCGAAGCCUGUAGAGAAAAUCGGGGUCUCCUGUCUGUGUGUUAGCCUUCCUUCUCCUCCAGUGCUCAAAGACAGUCACAGCAGAAAGAUGUUUUCUCAUUGAGAAAGAUACCGAAGAAAAUCAAUUUCCCCUACGGCGGCUUGGAAAGGAAGCUGGGGCAGGCAUCGGAGUCUGCGCGGUGAAGAGCCUGGGGUUCACACCUUUGAGAGGCCUUGUCUGACGGCCAUGUUCCCAAAUGCUCCAUUUUAUGGUCUGCCCACUGUCUCAGUCAUUGCUCCUUGACCUCCUGCCCCUCCAUCCUCAUUCUCCACCCUUGCUGAUACGUGUUAGUCAAUCACCUCAGGGAGGUGCCCUGUCCCGGAGGCACCCUUGAUUCUUGACUUGAUCUAGGAAACACCUUUUGUGAUUAAAUAUCCAUGGGCUUCUGUUGCAAAACUAA